rnacentral:rRNA from 1 species
CCUACGGGCGGCAGCAGUGGGGGAUAUUGCACAAUGGGGGGAACCCUGAUGCAGCGACGCCGCGUGGGUGAAGAAGCGCCUCGGCGCGUAAAGCCCUGUCAGCAGGGAAGAAAAUGACGGUACCUGAAGAAGAAGCCCCGGCUAACUACGUGCCAGCAGCCGCGGGAAUACGUAGGGGGCAAGCGUGAUCCGGAUUUACUGGGUGUAAAGGGGGCGCAGACGGCGAUGCAAGCCAGGAGUGAAAGCCCGGGGCCCAACCCCGGGACUGCUCUUGGAAGUGCGUGGCUGGAGUGCAGGAGGGGCAGGCGGAAUUCCUGGUGUAGCGGUGAAAUGCGUAGAUAUCAGGAGGAACACCGGUGGCGAAGGCGGCCUGCUGGACUGCAACUGACGUUGAGGCCCGAAAGCGUGGGGAGCAAACAGGAUUAGAUACCCGAGUAGUC